rnacentral:rRNA from 1 species
CCUACGGGGUGCAGCAGUGAGGAAUAUUGGUCAAUGGACGCAAGUCUGAACCAGCCAUGCCGCGUGCAGGAAGACGGCUCUAUGAGUUGUAAACUGCUUUUGUACGAGGGUAAACGCAGAUACGCGUAUCUGUCUGAAAGUAUCGUACGAAUAAGGAUCGGCUAACUCCGUGCCAGCAGCCGCGGUAAUACGGAGGAUUCAAGCGUUAUCCGGAUUUAUUGGGUUUAAAGGGUGCGUAGGCGGUCGGAUAAGUUAGAGGUGAAAUCCCGAGGCUCAACUUCGGAAUUGCCUCUGAUACUGUUCGGCGAGAGAGUAGUUGCGGUAGGCGGAAGGUAUGGUGUAGCGGUGAAAUGCUUAGAGAUCAUACAGAACACCGAUUGCGAAGGCAGCUUACCAAGCUACUUCUGACGUUGAGGCACGAAAGCGUGGGGAGCAAACAGGAUUAGAUACCCCAGUAGUC